rnacentral:pre_miRNA from 2 species
AGGUGCCAUUCUGAGGGCCAGGAGUUUGAUUAUGUGUCACUCUGGCUGCUAUGGCCCCCUC